rnacentral:lncRNA from 1 species
CUGCUUGCAACCAGAAACUAGAUUCCAUUCUUUUUUCUUUCAAACAGAAAUGCAUUUCUACAGUUUAAACAAAAUUCAUCAGACCUUGUCAAUGAAGGCCAUCGAACCAAACCCUGCAUUUGUACAAAUGUAAGCACUCAAAGUUCAAAAUAGGAGCUUGCUACAAAAAAACAUGACCAAGCUGUACUAAGUCGAUUCAGGAAUCUACAAUGCAACAUGACAGUAACAGACUUAACUGUAUGUUCACAACAAAUGUAUGCAUCCCUUUCUCAGCAGCAACCUAAUUAACAAAGUGGUAAAAGUGAAGUACUCCACGUUAUAUAUAUUGGCCCUAUUUCGACGAGACCGUGUAACUAAAAGUAGACAAGAAACCACAAAUUGUUUUAAUAUUCACAGGGCUGUUUACCUGAGCAACACAACCUUUCUGCCUGGAAAAAUUAUCUAUAAGCAUAUGUCAAUCAAGUUAAAAGUUCAGAACUCUGAAAUAGAAAGAAACCAAAAUGCACAUACCAAUAAUCCAUGUAACUCCUCAC